rnacentral:rRNA from 1 species
UGGGGAAUAUUGCACAAUGGGCGCAAGCCUGAUGCAGCAACGCCGCGUGAACGAUGAAGGUCUUCGGAUCGUAAAGCUCUGUUGCCGGGGAAGAUAAUGACGGUACCCUGUGAGGAAGCCCCGGCUAACUACGUGCCAGCAGCCGCGGUAAUACGUAGGGGGCUAGCGUUAUCCGGAUUUACUGGGCGUAAAGGGUGCGUAGGUGGUCUUUCAAGUCGGUGGUUAAAGGCUACGGCUCAACCGUAGUUAGCCUCCGAAACUGGAAGACUUGAGUGCAGGAGAGGAAAGUGGAAUUCCCAGUGUAGCGGUGAAAUGCGUAGAUAUUGGGAGGAACACCAGUGGCGAAGGCGGCUUUCUGGACUGCAACUGACACUGAGGCACGAAAGCGUGGGUAGCAAACAGG